CACAGUGCUCUUGCCAACAUCUUUCCACUCUUGUUCCCAUAUUCAUAGAAGGCUUUUUUAGUGAGACGAAACUGGAAAUGGAUUUUUGACGUUAGGCAAGAGCUAAGUUGCGCCGUGGCCUCCAGGAGUCGUUUGUAGGUAUCUUCGUUUAGAUCAGUUUUAUGCUGGUUUUCCGAGUGGGAUAGUCGGUCAGUCAGGUGUAAAAUUUCC